rnacentral:rRNA from 1 species
GACGUAGGGCGCGAGCGUUGUCCGGAAUUACUGGGCGUAAAGAGUUCGUAGGCGGUUUGUCGCGUCGUUCGUGAAAACUUGGGGCUUAACUCCAAGCGUGCGGGCGAUACGGGCAGACUUGAGUACUACAGGGGAGACUGGAAUUCCUGGUGUAGCGGUGAAAUGCGCAGAUAUCAGGAGGAACACCGGUGGCGAAGGCGGGUCUCUGGGUAGUAACUGACGCUGAGGAACGAAAGCGUGGGUAGCGAACAGG